UACGGAGGGGGCUAGCGUUGUUCGGAAUUACUGGGCGUAAAGCGUGCGCAGGCGGUUUUGUAAGUCUGUCGUGAAAUCCCCGGGCUCAACCUGGGAAUUGCGAUGGAGACUGCAAGGCUAGAAUCUGGCAGAGGGGGGUAGAAUUCCACGUGUAGCAGUGAAAUGCGUAGAGAUGUGGAGGAACACCGAUGGCGAAGGCAGCCCCCUCGGUCGG
rnacentral:rRNA from 1 species